rnacentral:tRNA from 1 species
GUCAGUUUGUCCGAGGUAAGGAGUCAGACUUGAAAUCUGGUGGGCUCUGCCCGCGCAGGUUCAAACCCUGCAGCUGACG